UACGGAGGGUGCAAACGUUGCUCGGAAUCAUUGGGCGUAAAGCGCAUGUAGGCGGGCUAUCAAGUCGGGCGUGAAAUCCCUCAGCUUAACUGAGGACGUGCACUCGAAACUGAUAGUCUUGAGUAUGGAAGAGGGUCGCGGAAUUCCCGGUGUAGAGGUGAAAUUCGUAGAUAUCGGGAGGAACACCAGUGGCGAAGGCGGCGACCUGGGCCAAUACUGACGCUGAGAUGCGAAAGCGUGGGGAGCAAACAGG
rnacentral:rRNA from 1 species